rnacentral:pre_miRNA from 1 species
GUAAUACUCCCUCCGUCCGGAAAUACUUGUCAUCAAAAUGAAUAAAAGGGAUGUAUCUAAAUGUAUAUUAGUUCUAGAUACAUCUUUUUUAUCCAUUUUGAUGACAAGUAUUUUUGGACAGAGGGAGUACUUU